rnacentral:rRNA from 1 species
GGUGAAAAGCACCCCGGAAGGGGAGUGAAAUAGAACCUGAAACCGUGUGCUUACAAGUAGUCAGAGCCCGUUAAUGGGUGAUGGCGUGCCUUUUGUAGAAUGAACCGGCGAGUUACGAUUUGAUGCAAGGUUAAGCAGUAAAUGUGGAGCCGUAGCGAAAGCGAGUCUGAAUAGGGCGUUUAGUAUUUGGUCGUAGACCCGAAACCAGGUGAUCUACCCUUGGUCAGGUUGAAGUUCAGGUAACACUGAAUGGAGGACCGAACCGACUUACGUUGAAAAGUGAGCGGAUGAACUGAGGGUAGCGGAGAAAUUCCAAUCGAACCUGGAGAUAGCUGGUUCUCUCCGAAAUAGCUUUAGGGCUAGCCUCAAGU